CUGUCGUUACGAUGUCGGGCGGGGGUCGCGCCGGUUCGGUCUCCGGGGCUCUGCGGACGCCGGGCAGAGACCUGCGGCCAGGGCGUGUCCCGUGUGCCCGAGAGCGCCGGCGGCGGGGCCGGAGGGCGGGCCCUGGGCCGAAUGACAGGCCGCAGCCCCCGAGCACCGUCGAAGCCGGCGCGCCCGCCCGGUGCAGCCGCUGUGCGAGGGCGACCCCGCGGUCCAAGCCUCGCGUGGCCCUGCCGGGCCCCUUCUUUCCCCGGGUAGGGCGCAGCUUCCCAGCCUCCGUCCCGGCCUCGCCUGGCGCUUCCUUCCGGGUCCUUCGGCCUUUCCCUGGCGGUGCGGCAGGCUUCGCCUCAUCCCACCAGGCACGCCGCGGUACUCGGCCCUGGGUAUCCGGGCAGGCUGCCUCCGUUAGGGCCGCCCCUGGUCUUCGGACGCGACUUUUCACUGGUCUCGGAAUUUCUUGGCUCGUCUUGGCCUCUGCAGCCUUGCUGGAGGCUGCCCUGCGGAAUCUGAGUGAAUAAGGGAAACAGCAACAGUCACGUUGGGGAAAAGCUGGUUCGGACAGUGCCACUGGUUCCUUUAACGCACGGCCCUCAAUGCAGCGUCCCACACACAUGGGAUUGUAGAGGUCCCGAGUUUAAGGUUCACUUUUAAAACUGUAAUCACCGCCGUAAAGGCCUUGCUGGACACACAUAUUUCCCAGAGAGGCACCCACAGAUGGACCCCAGCCUCAGGGUCCUCCCGGAGCUUUCGGUUUAUAGUAGAACCCAGUAAACACGUUAAUAACACCGAGAGCUAUAAAAUACAGAUGGUGAUUUAGCAUCUCUGUCUUAUUUAUUUCUAGAUAUGGAUCAGAAACUUUCGAAGUUGGUAGAAGAGCUCACAACUUCGGGAGAACCCCGACUAAAUCCUGAGAAAAUGAAGGAACUGAAGAAAAUUUGCAAGUCUUCAGAGGAGCAGCUGAGCCGCGCCUACCGCCUGCUGAUAGCACAGCUGACCCAGGAGCACGCCGAGAUCCGUCUCUCAGCCUUCCAGAUCGUGGAGGAACUCUUCGUCAGGUCUCACCACUUCCGGAUGCUGGUUGUUUCCAACUUCCAGGAGUUCCUGGAGCUCACGCUGGGCACGGACCCCGCACAGCCUCUGCCGCCCCCGAGGGAGGCGGCACAGAGGCUGAGGCAGGCGACCACUCGGGCCGUGGAAGGGUGGAAUGAGAAAUUCGGGGAGGCCUACAAGAAGCUUGCCUUGGGCUACCACUUCUUAAGACACAACAAAAAGGUGGAUUUUCAAGACUCGAAUGCUCGGAGUCUGGCAGAAAGGAAGAGAGAAGAGGAGAAGCAGAAGCACUUGGAUAAAAUUUAUCAAGAAAGAGCCAGCCAGGCGGAGAGGGAGAUGCAAGAAAUGUCUGGAGAAAUUGAAUCCUGCUUGACGGAGGUAGAGAGCUGCUUUAGGCUGCUGGUGCCUUUUGACUUUGACCCGAACCCGGAGACGGAAUCCCUUGGCGUGGCUUCUGGCAUGCCCGAUGCCCUUCGCUCCUCCUGCGCGGGCCAGGUGGGCCCUUGCCGGUCUGGCACCCCUGACCCCCGGGACGGGGAGCAGCCCUGCUGCAGUAGAGACCUGCCUGCCUCUGCAGGCCACCCCAGAGCGGGCAGCGGGGCACAGCCAUCCCAGACAGCCACAGGUGACCCCUCAGAUGAGGACGAGGACAGCGACCUCGAGGAGUUUGUGCGGAGCCACGGGCUGGGCUCGCACAAGUACACGCUGGAUGUGGAGCUCUGCUCAGAGGGCCUGAAGGUGCAGGAGAACGAGGACAACCUUGCUCUCAUCCACGCCGCCCGCGACACACUCAAGCUCAUCCGGAACAAGUUCCUGCCGGCUGUGUGCUCGUGGAUCCAGCGCUUCACCCGCGUCGGGACCCACGGUGGAUGUUUAAAGCGUGCCAUUGACCUGAAGGCGGAAUUGGAGCUCGUACUGAGAAAAUACGAGGAGCUGGACAUCGAGCCUGAGGGAGGGCAAAGGCGCAGGACAGAAGCCCUGGGGGAUGCGGAGGAAGAUGAGGAUGAUGAGGACUUUGUGGAGGUCCCUGAGAAGGAGGGGUAUGAGCCCCACAUCCCCGACCACCUGCGGCCUGAGUAUGGGCUGGAGGCAGCACCAGAGAAAGACACAGUUGUGCGGUGCUUGCGGACGAGGACGAGGAUGGAUGAGGAGGUGUCGGACCCCACCUCUGCAGCUGCUCAGCUGCGGCAGCUCCGGGACCACUUGCCUCCACCCUCAUCUGCCAGCCCCUCCAGAGCGUUGCCAGAGCCACAGGAGGCCCAGAAGCUGGCAGCAGAGCGGGCCCGGGCGCCUGUGGUGCCCUACGGUGUGGACCUGCACUACUGGGGCCAGGAGCUCCCCACAGCCGGGAAGAUUCUCAAGUCUGACUCCCAGCACCGCUUCUGGAAGCCCAGCGAGGUGGAGGAGGAAGUGGUCAAUGCCGACGUCUCUGAGAUGCUCCGGAGCCGCCACAUCACUUUUGCCGGGAAGUUUGAGCCUGUGCAGCACCGGUGCCGUGCCCCGAGGCCAGACGGCCGGCUCUGUGAGCGCCAAGACCGGCUGAAGUGCCCUUUCCAUGGGAAGAUUGUUCCGAGGGACGACGAAGGACGGCCGCUUGACCCGGAAGACAGGGCUCGCGAGCAGCGGCGGCAGCUGCAGAAGCAGGAGCGCCCGGAAUGGCAGGACCCUGAGUUGAUGAGAGAUGUGGAAGCAGCCACAGGGCAGGAUCUCGGCUCGUCCAGGUACGGCGGGAAAGGCAGGGGGAAGAAGAGGAGGUACCCCAGCCUCACCAACCUGAAGGCUCAGGCUGACACCGCCCGCGCUCGCAUUGGGAGAAAAGUCUUCGCCAAGGCAGCUGUGCGGAGGGUAGUGGCAGCCAUGAACCGGAUGGACCAGAAGAAGCACGAGAAGUUUUCAAACCAGUUUAACUACGCACUGAACUAGAGAGCGGGGCCCAGUGCACUGGCCAUCAGCACCUUCUCCCUCUGCCAGUGUCUCAGGACAGCAGAGUGGGCGUGGGUGUGGGCAGUAACCAUGCUUUGUCUAUUACUGUGUUUGAUGUAAAGAAAUGGUGCGUUGCAGUGCCCUGAAGGUACGGCCGCUCUGCUGCUACAGGGUUUGGCAUCGUCUGGUGAUGGGUCUGGCCUCGCAGAAGAGGCCCUCGGGCCUGGAGAUGUGAACGCAGGCAGCGACCCUGUUCCAGAGGGCGUCUGCGAGUCCUUGUGAGGCCAGUGCGUGUCGUGGUGUGGGGUUCAGCACGGACGGAAUGUGUGUGCAGCUCAGCCUUCAGAGCGUGCAUUCCCCAGCCAGGAGGCGACCACUCAGAGGAACUCUGGGAAACCCACUUUGGUGCAAAUGCUGUUUUUAACACAAACACAAAGGCUAGUGAACCGUUCAAUCAUCUGCUUUCUGUUUCUGGAUGUGCCUUUUCAUACAUGUGUCCUCUUGUCCCUGGCUUCUUACACUUGGCGUUGUUUUCAAGGUUUAUCCAUGCAGUUCCUUCCAAUGUAUAAAACAAAGGAGGUGAAAACCUGUCCAUGCAGAAGCUUGUGCCCCCAUGUUCACAGCAGCAUUGGAGAAGGAUACUGAACAUCUUCUCGUGGGCUUACUGGCCAUUUGUGUAUCUCCUUUGGAGAGGAGUCUAUUCAAACCUCUUGCCUAUUUUUAAUUGAAUGAUUUAUCUUGAGUUGUAACAGUUGUUUUUUUUUCUUCCUUUUAGAGAUGGGCUUUUGCUCUUACCCAGGCUGAGUGCAGUGGCAGAAUCAUAGCUCAGUGCAGCCUCGAACUCCCGGGCUCAAGCCAUCCUUCCACGUCAGCCUCCCAGGUAGCUGGGACUACAGGCACACACCACAACACUUGGCUAAUUUUUUAAAUUUUUUGUAGAGAUGAGGUCUCACUGUGUUGCCCACGGUGAUCUCGAACUCCUAGCCUCAAGUGAUCCUCCUGCUUCAGUCUCCCAAAGUGUUGGGAUUACAGGCAUGAACCACCACUCCUGGCCAGGAGUUUAUAUGUAUACUGUGAAUACUAGAUCCUCAUGUGAUUUGCAAAAACUUUAUUUAUUUAUUUAUUUAUUUUUGAAAUGGAAUCUUGCUCUGUCGCCAGGCUGGAGUGCAAUGGCGUGAUCUCGGCUCACUGCAACUUCCACCUCCUGGGUUCAAGCGAUUCGCCUGCGUCAGCCUCCUGAGUAGCUGGGACUACAGGCGCGCACCACCACGCCCAGCUAAUUUUUGUAUUUUUAGUAGAGACGGGAUUUCACUAUGUUGGCUGGGAUGGUCUUGAUCUCUUGACCUCAUGAUCCACCCACCUCGGCCUCCCAUAGUGCUGGGAUUACAGGUGUGAGCCACCGCACUCAGCUGAUUUGCAAAAACUUUCUUCCAUACUGUUGUUUCACUUUCUGGAUAGUGUCCUCUGAAGCACAAAAGUUAAUUUUGAUGAAGUACAGCAAUUUAUCUGUUUUUUUCUUUUGUUGCUUAUGCUUUUGCUGUCACAUUUCAGAAGCCAUCACCUAAUCCAAGAUCACAGAGAUUUACACCUAGUUUCUAAUGAGCAUUUUAUAAUUUCAGCUCUUAUGUGUAGAUCUUUGAUCCAUUGUGAAUUAAGUUUUGUGUGUGGUGUAAGAGCCCACAUUCUUUUGCAUGUGGAUAUCCAGUUGUCCCAGCACCAUUUGUUGAAAACAUUAUUUUUCCCCAUUGAAUUAUCUUCGCACCGUUAUUGAUAAUCAGUUGACCAAAAAUGUACAGGCUUAUUUCUGGGCACUUGACUCUAUUCCAUUGACCUGUUUAACCUUAUGCCAGUGCCACAGUGCCUUGAUCAGUGCUGCUUUGUUGUGAUAAGUUUUACUUUGUUCUGCUUCAAGGCUGUUUUGACUCUUCUGCAUCCCUUGCAUUUCCAAAUGAAUUUUAGGAUCCACUCAUCAGUUUCUUCAAAAAAAAAAAAAAAAAAGCAGCUAAGAUUUUGAUAGGAAUUACAUUAAAUCUAGAGAUUGCUUUGGGAUGUAUUACCAUCUUAAUAUUAAAUCUUCUGAGUCAUGAGCUUCUGAUUAUCUUUCCAUUUAUUUGGGUCUUUUUAAAUUUAUUUCAACAGUAUUUUGUAGUUUUCAGUAUAUAAGUUUUUCACUUAUUUUGUUAAAUUUACUCAUAUUUUAUUAUUUUUGAUUUAUAACCAAAAGGACUAUAAAUGCAAUUAUAAAUUAUUAAAAGAUUAUAAAUUGCAUUUACAAAAGCAAUCACAAAUGUAGUUGUUUUCCGAAUUUCACUUUGGGGCUGAUCAUUGCUAAUAUGUGGAAGUACAACUGACUUUUGUGUAUUGAUCUUGUAUCCAGCAUUCCUUGCUGAACUUGUUUAUUCAUUCUAAUUAGUUGUAUGUUCCCUAAGAUUUUCCAUACACAAAAUCAUGUCGUCUGCAAACAGCUUUCUUUCUAAUCUGGAUUUCUUUUAUUUCUCUUACCUAAUUGCUCUUGCUAGUACCUCCAGGACAAUGUUGAAUAGAUGUGGUGAGAACAGACAUCCUCGUCUUACUCUUGAUCUUAGCGGGAAGCUUUCGGUCUCUCACCAUUGAGUGUGAUGCUAACAAUGCAGUUUUGUGUAGAUGCUUCUAUCAGGUUGAAAAAGUUACCUUCUCCUCCUAGUUUGUUGAGUGUUUUUGUCAUAAAGUAUUGAAUUUUGUCAGAUGCUUUUUCUCCAUCUGUUGAGAUGAUAGUAUGAUUCUUGUCCUUUAUUGUAGUGAUACAGUAUAUUACAUUGUUUCUCAUAUAUUGAACCGACCUUGCAUUCAUGGGGCAAAUUCUACUUGUUCAUGGUGUAUAAUCCUUUUUCUAUGCUGCUGGCUUUGGUUUGCUAGGAUUUUGCAUCUGUAUUCAUGAGGGAUAUUGGGCUAUAGUCUUUUUGUGAUGUCUUUAGCUUUAGUCACGUCACUACUGACCUCAUAGAUUAAGGUGGGAAGUGUUCCCUCCCCUCCUAUUUUUUGGAAGAGUUUGUGAAAGAUUGUUGUUAAUUAUUUAAACAUUUGGUGGAAUUUACCAGUGAAGGCUGGGCUUUUCUUUGUGGGAUAUUUUUCCCUAAUUCAGUAUCUUCAUUUAUUAUAGAUCGGUUUAGUUCCAGUAGUUUGCAUCUUUCCAGGAGUUUGUCCCUUUCUAGGUUCUUUGUUGCAAUCUGUUCAUAUAUAAUGGUUCAUAGCAUUAAAAAAAAUUUUUUUAACUGACAAGGUCUCACUCUGUUGCCCAGGCUGGAGUGCAGUGGUGCAAUCAUAGCUCACUCCAACCUCAGACUCAAUGGGCCCAAGUGAUCCUCCCGCCUCAGCCUCCCCAGUAGGAAGGACCACAGGCAUGCACCACCACAUUCAGCUAAUUUUCUGUCUUUGGUUUUGUUUUGUUUGAGACAGAGUCUUGCUCUGUCACCCAGGCUGGAGUACAGUAGCGCAAUCAUGGCUCACUACAGCUUUGACCUCCCAGACUCAAGCAAUCUUCCCAUCUCAGCUUCCUGAGUAGCUAAGACUACAGGGGCAUGGCACUAUGACUGGCUAAUUUUUUAAAAGCUUAUUUUUGGUAGAGAUGGGGUCUCACUAUGUUGGCCAGGCUGGUCUCAAACUCCUGGCCUCAAGAAAUUUUCCCGUCUUAGCCUAGCAAAGUGCUGGGAUUACAGGCAUGAGCCACCACACUCAGCCCUAAUUUUCUUUAAAAUUUUCUUAUGGAGACAGGAUCUUGCUGUGUUGUCCAGGCUGAUCUUUGUCAAACUCCUGGCCUCAAGUGACCUUCCCACCUUGACCUCUCAAAGUGCUGGGAUUGUGGAUGUUAGCCAAUGCUCCCGGCCUAUUCAUAGUAUUUUCUGGUUUUAGUAAUUUGAUUCUUCUUUUACUCCCCUCAGUCUAGCUAAAGAUUUAUCAAUUUUGUUGAUCUAUUUAAAGAAACAACUUCUGGUUUUGUUUAUUAUUCCCUAUGAUUUUCCAUUCUUUAUUUUGUUAAUUUCCACUGUAAUCUUUAUUAUUUCCUUUGGGUUGCUUUGGGUUUUAUUUUAUCUUCUUUUUCUUGUUUCUUAAGAUGGAAAAUUAGCUUACUGAUUUGAAAUCUUUUUAAUAUAGACAUUUGUAGCUAUAAAUCUUUAUCUCAGCACUGAUUUAUUUCAUCCCUUAAGUUCUGCUAUAUUGUGUUUUCCCUUUUUUAAAUCUAAAAGUAUAUUCUGAUUUUUCUAGUGAUUUCUUCUUUUAUCUCUUGGUUAUUUAAGAGUUUGUUGUUUAAUUUCCACAUAUAUGUGUAUUUCCCAAGUUUCCGUUAUUGACUUCUUUUCUUAUUUUUGAGAGACAGGAUCUCACUUUGUCUCCCAGGCUGGAGUGCAGUGCCGUGAUCGCAGCUCACUGCAGCCUCGACCUCCCACCUCAGCCUCCUGAGUAGCUGAGACUACAGGCAUGAGCCACCAAGCCUGGCUAAAUUUUUUAAAAUUUUGUUGUAGAGACAGGGUCCGACUAUGUUGCCAGGCUGUGUUGGAACUCCUGGGCUCAAGUGAUCCUGCCACUUUCGCCUCCCAAAGUGCUGGGAUUACAAGCAUGAGCUACCAUACCUGGCCUGUUAAUGAUUUCUUAUUUCACUCCAUUAUGGCUAAAAAACAUAGAUUGUAUGAUUUCUCGUCUUUUAUAUGUAUUGAGAGUUAUUUUAUUGGCAUACCGUAUUUUCUGUCCCAGAGUGUUGAAGAAUAUCUAUCCUGCUCUUGUUGGGUGGAGUGUUGUGUAGAUGCCUGUUGGGUCUGAUUGGUUUGUAGUGUUGUAUGAGACACCUGUUGGGUCAGAGGUUGGUUUGUAGUGUUGUAUAGAUGCCUGUUGGGUCAGAUUGGUUUGUAGAGUUGUAUAGAUGUGUGUUGGGUCUGAUUGGUUUGUAGUGUUGCAUAGAAGCCUGUUGGGUCAGAGGUUGGUUUGUAGUGUUGUAUAGAUGCCUGUUGGGUCUGAUUGGUUUGUAGAGUUGUAUAGAUGCCUGUUGGGUCUGAUUGGUUUGUAGAGUUGUAUAGAUGCCUGUUGGGUCUGAUUGGUUUGUAGGGUUGUAUAGAUGCAUGUUGGGUCUGAUUGGUUUGUAGUGUUAUAUGGAUGCCUGUUGGGUCUGAUUGGUUUGUAGUGUUGUAUAGAUGCCUGUUGGGUCUGAUUGGUUUGUAGUGUUGUAUAGAUGCCUGUUGGGUCAGAGGUUGGUUUGUAAUGUUGUAUAGAUGCCUGUUGGGUCUGAUUGGUUUGUAGUGUUGUAUAGAUGCCUGUUGGGUCAGAAGUUGGUUUGUAAUGUUGUAUAGAUGCCUGUUGGGUCUGACUCGUUUGUAGAGUUGUAUAGAUGUGUGUUGGGUCUGAUUGGUUUGUAGUGUUGCAUGGAUGCCUGUUGGGUCUGAUUGGUUUCUAGUGUUGUAUAGAUGCCUGUUGGGUCUGAUUGGUUUCUAAUGUUGUAUAGAUGCCUGUUGGGUCAGAGGUUGGUUUGUAGUGUUGUAUAGAAGCCUGUUGGGUCAGAGGUUGGUUUGUGUGUUGUGUAGACGCCUGUUGGGUCAGAGGUUGGUUUGUAGUGUUGUAUAGAAGCCUGUUGGGUCAGAGGUUGGUUUGUGUGUUGUAUAGAUGCCUGUUGGGUCAGAGGUUGGUUUGUAGUGUUGUAUAGAAGCCUGUUGGGUCAGAGGUUGGUUUGUGUGUUGUAUAGACGCCUGUUGGGUCAGAGGUUGGUUUGUAGUGUUGUAUAGAAGCCUGUUGGGUCAGAGGUUGGUUUGUGUGUUGUAUAGAUGCCUGUUGGGUCAGAGGUUGGUUUGUAGUGUUGUAUAGAAGCCUGUUGGGUCUGAUUGGUUUGUAGUCUGAUUGUUUAUGUCUUCUCUUCCCUUAUUGAUCUUCUGCCCAGUUAUAUUGAUAUUGAAUGUGAGGUAUUGAAUCCUUCAGUUUUGUCAGCUUUUGUUUCAUAAAUUUUGAAGCUCUGUUAAGUGCGUCUGUAUUUCUAUUUCUUUCUGAUGAGCAGACCCUUUUAUCAUUAUGACAUGUCCUUCUUUGUCUUUAGUGAAAAAAAAAUGUUGUCUUUAAGUCCCUUUUGAAUGUUAUUAGUAUAGCCACUUAGCUCUUUUUUGAUUAUUGUUUGCAUGGUAUCUUUUUUCACCCUUUAACUUUCAUUGUAUCUCUGAAUCUAAAGUGUGUUUCUUGUAAACAGCACAUAGUGGGAUCGUGUUUCUCAUCUGUCUUUCUGGUCUCUGCUCUGAAUCAAAAGUGUGUUUCUUGUAGACAGCAUAUAGUGGGAUCAUGUUUUUCAUCUGUCCUGCUGGUCUCUGCUGUUUGAGAGGGAUGUUUAAUCCAUUUACAUUCAGUGUGAUUACUGAGAAAGUUGGAUUCGUAUCUGCCAUUUCUAAAUUUGUUUUCUAUAUUGUCUUUUUUGUCUUUCUUCCUUUAUUUCUCCAUUACUUUUUUGUGUUAAAUGGACAUUUAAUUCUCUUGUAACAUUGUAGUUUCCUUGUCUGUUUUACUGGGUUUUUUAAAAAGUAACUUUCUUAGCAGCUGCUCUGAGUAUUACAGUAACAAUGUAAAACCAAUCAAGUGUUCAGAUGAACUUAAUAAUGUACAAAAACCUUCACUUCGAGUAGCUUUGUUUCCUCUCAGCUUCUUGGUGCUGUAUUUGUCAUAUAAAUGCUACCUUUUAGAUUGUAAGUCCGUCAGCAGUCUUGUAAUUAUUGCUUUAUGCAGUUGUCUUUUAAAUCACAUAGAAGAAGAAAAGAUGUACAAACAGAAAUGAGUUUCUGCUGUCUCUGUUGCUGGCUUUGCAGUUGUCUUUUUUGGUGCUCUUUGUGUGGAUUUGAGUGUGGUGUCUUGGACUUCAGCCUCAAGUAUUUCUUGUAGGACAGAUCUUCUAGCAAUGAAUUCUCUUUGUUUUUGUUUAUCUGAGAAUGUUGUAAUUUCUCCUUCUCUUCUGAAGAAUAAUUGUGCUGGAUAUGGCUGACUUGGUUGGCCCUCUUUUUCUUUCAGUCCUCUAUAGAUGUCAUUCCACUGCCUCUGGCCUCUGUGGUUUCCGUGGCGGGAGCAGCGCACCGUGUCUCAGUCUCUUUUUAGCUUCUGACUGUUUGACUGUGGUGUGUCUAAUUGUGGAUCUUUCAGUGUGUCCUACCUGCAGUUCUUUGAGCUUCUUGGAUAUAGAGGUUAAUAUUUUUUGUAGUCUGAUUGUUUACGUCUUCUCUUCACUUACUGAUCUUCUGCCUAGUUACAUUGAUAUUGAAUGUGGGUAUUGAAUCCUUCAGUUUUGUCAGCUUCAUGUUCAGCCAGUGACUGGACAGAAGGCCCCUUUAAGUGCUUUGCACCAGUAACUCUCACGGUUCUGCCGACACGCAGUUGAUGCGCGGUGUGUGUGCCUUCAGCGCUCCGUCGCAGUUCUGCAAAUUUGGGAAAUUUUAGGUUGUCAUUUCUCAAAAUAUUUUAUGUCCAUGUUCUCUUCCCCCACUUGGACUCCAGCUACGUGUUGAUGUGGAGCUGGGCACAGCCUUGGAGGCCACCUUGACUUUCCUUUAUUCUGGAAUUGUUUCUUCUUCUCAGAAUGGGUCAUCUCAGUUGACCUAUCUUCAAGGUCACAGAUGCUUUUGCCAAACAAAACCUGAUGUCAAGCUGCUCUAGUGAAUUUUUCAUUUCAGUUAUUGUACUUUUCUACUCCAAACUUCCAUUUGGCUCUCUUCUAUAAUUUCUGUAUCUUUACUCAUAUUCUUUAUUUAGUGAAACAUUCUCAUACUUUAAUUCUGUAGACACAGUUUCCUUUAGUUAUUUGAACAUAUGUGUAGAAGCUGAUUUAAAGUACUUGUCUAAGCCGGGCGUGGUGGCGUGCACCUGUAAUCCCAGCUACUUGGGAGGCAGAGGCAGGAGAAUUGCUUGAACCCAGGAGGCGGAGGUUGCAGUGAGCCAGGAUCGAGCCAUUGUACUCCAGCCUGGGCCACAGAGCGAGACUCUCUCAAAACUAGAUAGAUAGAUAGAUAGAUAGAUAGAUAGAUAGAUAGAUAGAUAGAUAGAUAGAUGGAUAGAUUAGAUAGAUAGAUAGAUGGAUGGAUAGAUUAGAUAGAUAGAUAGAUAGAUAGAUAGAUAGAUAGAUAGAUAGAUGGAUAGAUAGAUAGAUAGAUGGAUGGAUAGAUUAGAUAGAUUAGAUAGAUAGAUAGAUAGAUAGAUGGAUAGAUAGAUAGAUGGAUAGAUUAGAUAGAUUAGAUAGAUUAGAUAGAUAGGUGACUUGUCUACUAAGUUCAACAUCAGGGCUUAUUCAGGGGAAGUUCCUAUUGAUGACCUUUUUUCCCAUGUCAGAGCCAAGGAAAUAACAUACUCUUUCUUUGUGGUCUCAUAUAUAUGUAUUUUUUGAAGACUGGACACUUUAAUAAUGUGCUGUGCAACUCUGGAAAUCAGAUACCCUCUCCACGAGUUUAUUGUUGUUCUGUUGUUGUGACCUUUUGUUUAGUGUGUGUUCUGGACUAAUUUGAAGUGUCCACCUCAUCAGCUUCAUGUUCAGCCAGUGACUGGACAGAGGACCUCUUUAAGUGCUUUGCACCAGUAACUCUCAUGGUUCUGCCGACACGCAGUUGAUGCGCGGUGAGUGUGCCUUCAGCGCCCCGUCGCGGUUCUGCCGACACACAGUUGAUGCGCGGUGAGUGUGCCUUCAGCGCCCCAUCACGGUUCUGCCGACACGCAGUUGAUGCGCGGUGAGUGUGCCUUCGGCGCCCCGUCGCGGUUCUGCCGACACGCAGUUGAUGCGUGGUGUGUGUGCCUUCAGCGCCCCGUCGCGGUUCUGCCGACACGCAGUUGAUGCGUGGUGAGUGUGCCUUCAGCGCUCCGUCGCAGUUCUGCCGACAUGCAGUUGAUGCGUGGUGUGUGUGCCUUCAGCACCCCAUCCUGGUUCUGCCGACACGCAGUUGAUGCGUGGUGAGUGUGCCUUCAGCGCUCCGUCGCAGUUCUGCCGACACGCAGUUGAUGCGUGGUGUGUGUGCCUUCAGCGCCCCGUCGCGGUUCUGCCGACACGUAGUUGAUGCGUGCACCCCAUCCUGGUUCUGCCGACACGCAGUUGAUGCGCGGUGAGUGUGCCUUCAGCGCCCCGUCGCAGUUCUGCCGACACGCAGUUGAUGCGCGGUGAGUGUGCCUUCAGCGCCCCGUCGCGGUUCUGCCGACACGCAGUUGAUGCGCGGUGAGUGUGCCUUCAGCGCCCCAUCACGGUUCUGCCGACACGCAGUUGAUGCGCGGUGUGUGUGCCUUCGGCGCCCCGUCGCGGUUCUGCCGACACGCAGUUGAUGCGUGGUGUGUGUGCCUUCAGCGCCCCGUCACGGUUCUGCCGACACGCAGUUGAUGCGUGGUGUGUGUGCCUUCAGCACCCCAUCCUGGUUCUGCCGACACGCAGUUGAUGCGUGGUGAGUGUGCCUUCAGCGCUCCGUCGCAGUUCUGCCGACACGCAGUUGAUGCGUGGUGUGUGUGCCUUCAGCGCCCUGUCGCGGUUCUGCCGACACGUAGUUGAUGCGUGGUGAGUGUGCCUUCAGCGCCCCGUCGCGGUUCUGCCGACACGCAGUUGAUGCGUGGUGAGUGUGCCUUCAGCGCUCCAUCGUGGUUUUGCCAACACGCAGUUGAUGUGUGGUCAGUGCUCCAGCAGGCAGCUGCCAACUGUGCCUUUGCCUUCACUUCUUACUUGCACACAGCCACAAAGCCAGCCAGAGGUGAGGGCCAGGGCAGCUCAGGUUCCUCUCGGGCAUGCACACAGCUCUGUGCCUGUGUGGGCACAGCCUUCCAUGCCUCCAGGAGUGUGGCAGAACUUCUCAGCGGCCACUGUGGGCAUCUCGUUCCUCAGAUCUUCCUUUCAUGAGUUAUAUAGUUGAAUUAUCAAUCUUUCUUGGCUUCUGAGUUUUGUGUUCUAGUUAGAAUGCUCUUCCCCCUUAAAGAUUAUAUUUGAAAUGUUUUCCAUGUUUUCUUCUAGUACUUUUAUGGGUUUCAUUUUCAUAUUGAAAUCAUUGAUCUACUUCUAGUUUUUGAUACAAAAUGUGAGCCAGGAAACCCGGUUUUUAAAUUUCAAAUAGCUGUCCAGGUGUCCCUGCACCUCUUAUGCAUGAGCCCUCGCUUUGUGCCAAUGUGGAGUGCCCACCUGCUCACAUGUGCCGAUGUGGAGUGCCCGCCUGCUCACACACAUGUCCAUGUGGAGCGCCCGCCUGUUCACACAUGUGCCCAUGUGGAGUGCCCGCCUGCUCACAGGUGCCCAUGUGGAGUGCCCGCCUGCUCACACGUGCCCAUGUGGAGUGCCCGCUUGCUCACAUGUGCCAAUGUGGAGUGCCCGCCUGCUCACACACGUGCCCAUGUGGAGUGCCCGCCUGCUCACACACGUGCCGAUGUGGAGUGCCCGCCUGCUCAUACGUGCCCAUGUGGAGUGCCCGCCUGCUCACGUGCCCAUGUGGAGUGCCCGCCUGCUGCCCGCCUGCUCACGUGCCCAUGUGGAGUGCCCGCCUGCUCACACACGUGCCGAUGUGGAGUGCCCGCCUGCUCACACGUGCCGACGUGGAGUGCCCGCCUGCUCACACGUGCCGAUGUGGAGUGCCCGCCUGCUCACACACGUGCCCAUGUGGAGUGCCCGCCUGCUCACACACGUGCCCAUGUGGAGUGCCCACCUGCUCACGUGCCCAUGUGGAGUGCCCGCCUGCUCACGUGCCCAUGUGGAGUGCCCACCUGCUCACACGUGCCCAUGUGGAGUGCCCGCCUGCUCACGUGCCCAUGUGGAGUGCCCGCCUGCUCACACGUGCCCAUGUGGAGUGCCCGCCUGCUCACACGUGCCGACGUGGAGUGCCCGCCUGCUCACACGUGCCGACGUGGAGUGCCCGCCUGCUCACACACGUGCCCAUGUGGAGUGCCCGCCUGCUCACACACGUGCCCAUGUGGAGUGCCCGCCUGCUCACACAAAGCCCUGGCAUGGUGGCUCUGUAGGUUUCCUGUCCUGCCGGCCGAGUCAGACGCUGUUACCGUACAUUCUACUCAUGGUGGCUUUUUAAUACGUUUUUAAUGUCAAGGACCCCUUUUAUAUUUCUCUGCACCUCAAGAUAACGUGGGAAUAUUAGGGAUGAGAUGGAAGAGGAGAGGGUGUUUUUGUAAAAUAGAAUUCAGGACUGAUUUGUUAGCCUGGUGCUUUUCGUAUCAGACCUUUUAAUGAAUUUUCAUGGAUGCUGAUUAAAAGACAAACCUGUGA